rnacentral:rRNA from 1 species
AUCCUACGGGGGGCAGCAGUAGGGAAUCUUCCACAAUGGGCGAAAGCCUGAUGGAGCAACGCCGCGUGGGUGAAGAAGGUCUUCGGAUCGUAAAACCCUGUUGUUAGAGAAGAAAGUGCGUGAGAGUGACUGUUCACGUUUCGACGGUAUCUAACCAGAAAGCCACGGCUAACUACGUGCCAGCAGCCGCGGUAAUACGUAGGUGGCAAGCGUUAUCCGGAUUUAUUGGGCGCAAAGGGAACGCAGGCGUACUUUUAAGUCUGAUUUGAAAGCCUUCGGCUUAACCGUAGUAGUGCCUUUGAAAU